UUGCACUGUAGGGGCUGCGUGGGGGCUGCUGUCACGGACUGUGGGUGCUAGAGGAGGCCAGUGUUAGGGAGGGGUGCCUGAGCCAGACUGUGGGGUUAGGGUCGGGCUUCCUGGAAGAGCGGGGUCAUCAGAGCAGAGUCCUGAGGUAGAGUCAAUGAUGUUAGAGGAGACGUGAGUUAAUCACAGUAGCCAGGCAUGUUUCUAAGGCUGUACAUCUUUAAUGUACCACAAUCGCCAGGGAAGGGGUUACCUGUACCAUUUUCCUCAGUUGAUAGAAAAGGAACCUGACAUACAAGGAGAUUAGGUUAGGUAGUUGGGUCAGCCCCAUAAGCUUCUGGAGAUGACUGCCCUGCAAGGGCAAGAACUUAGCUCACCUAUCUAUACCCAAUGCUGGCUGAGACCAGCCUGGGCUGGCCAUCAGGUUGGUGCCCUUGUGAGGCUCAAAGAGAAUGGUUCCGGGAAGCAGAUGGGUUGGUAUAGCUCCACUUUUAAGAGCACAGGUUCAGCCAUCUGACUUGAGCCUGAGCUUCACCUUGCUGGCAAUCCACUUCUCUGAGCCUCAUACUCGUCUGUAAAUGGGCACACUGCCGGCCCUGACCUCACUGGGUUCUUGGGGGGAUUCAGUGACUCAUUGCUUGGCCGAGGCCUGGCUCACUGAGCUGCUUAUAAAGAGAGGCUCUUAGACCGAGACGCCCUUGCUCCAGAGGUCCAGACAAAGCAGGAAGAGUGGUCCACUGGGUGAGUCCUGUGCAGUGGGGUUUGUAGGGAGCUUGGCAUAUGGGGGUGGCAUGAGGGUGGAGGGCUAGGGAGGCCUCUUGGACCUGAGCUGAACAGCUUGAGGUCAGCUCCCUUCUGUGUGAGGGGUGGUGAGAGAGGAAGGUGCCUUGCAUCCACAAAAUGAGGAGCAGGAAGUGACUGCAGGAAGACCAGCAAGGGCUACUGGGAAACGUGGGCAGGGGAGCCAAUUCACUCAAGUCUCAGGUCCUUUUCAUGUUUCUUGUUGAUCAAAGUAAAAAUGCAGGGAAAAUGUGUGUGUGUGUGCGUGCGUAUGUGUGUGUGUGUGUAUAAUUGUCUUGGUUGUGUGUGGGGUCUGGACUGUAGGAGAUACGGUGUGUGUGGCAGCCUGUGGAGAGGGGGUGGGUGGGCAGAGACUUCCUUGUAGGGUGGUCGUGGGCUCCCUGGGGGAGGAGAUCGGGAGGCUAGUUCUGGCCACUGGAAGUGGGGGCAGGGCCCCAAAUGAGUCCUUUUGCUGCAGGCCACCUGACUUGGACUCCUGAGAGCAGGGAAUGGCCCAGGGACAAUGGGAUGUGUUUGGGGCUGGGUCAGCCUGAGCCAGACUGCAGCCUUGUCCAGUUCAGCUGUGGUGCCCUAGAGGCCCCCACGGGACAGUGGCCAAGCCAUGCCCAUGGCUCAACCAGGUCUCACCUGUCAGUGAGACUGUCACCUGAGCUCCA
rnacentral:lncRNA from 1 species